rnacentral:lncRNA from 1 species
UUUAAUUUGAAAUAGGUUGCCAGUUCUUCUUUAAGAAAAAGUUGAAAUAGUCUCCCAGGUGCAUCGGAAAAUUAAUUUCCGGGGAAUUUCUAUGCUGUACCAUCUAAUGCAUUCCUUCUCAGUUUUACUUUGCUCACUCCAGUUGGAUCUUUUUUGACUUCCUUUAUUUCAAUUUGAAAUAGUUUCUUGCAUUCGAAAAUUCGCUAGGUCUCUUGGCAUGUUUUAAAUUUCCAUAUGGUUGGUCUUUACCUUAUUAAUGUUUGUGUAGGAGGAUGAGAGCUUGAGAAGGUGGAAAGAAAAACUGCUUGGUUGCUUGGAAAGUGACUUAAAUGGUUUGUCUUUUGUCAAUCUGUGUUCCUGAACACAGCAUACUGUUUACUCUGUAAUUAACCAUUAAAUCUUGUUUACUGACUACUUGGAUCAAUUUUAUAGGACAAAUGGAACCUGAAGUUAAGUUCCACUCAGUUGGAAUCCUUUCGUCUGACUUUGGGGAGAUAAAUACUCCAUUACCAAUUAAAGAAGAACAAAGCAAAUCUGUUCUCUUUACGCUCAGGGAGGGCUCUGAGUAUCGGCUUAAGCUAACAUUUAGUGUUCUGCACAACAUUGUUUCUGGUUUGGCCUACACAAAUACAGUAUGGAAGGCUGGUCUUCAAGGUUUGAUUUCUAUACUCAGUUCCUCUUUCUUUUGCAUCCCCUUGUUUUAAAAUUGCUUUGUUGGUCAGCCAAGCACCUAAGGGAUUUAAUACUAGCAUUUCAUUUUGUAGUUGUCAAGCAGCAUGUUCACAUUUAUUUAUUCGAGCAUGGGUCUUCUUCGAAUUGUGCAUUUAUAACUGAAAAUACCAUGUUAUAGUGUGUGGACUGAAUCAUUUAGUUUCAAAGUUUUAGUCAUGUAGAUUGUGUGUGAUUUUAAUGAAGCAGUUAAAAUGAAUUAUGGUUGUGCACUAGGUGUUCCAGCCCAAUAUCUAAGUCCGUCAUGGAAUGAAGGCCAAAAUACUUGGUCUCCAAGUUUGUGGACUCUUUCAUUUCUUUGGGUAUAUUGCCUGAUUUGGUUUCGAAGAUAACAAGGGAAUUUGUCCGUGCUCCGCGGGGUCAUGAAAGCUGUAUUUAUGAUUGAUCUCACAAAUAGUCUUCUCUAUUAACAUUCGUGAAAUUAUAAAAAUUUUAACUCCAUAUACGAUGUACAUUAUGAUUUGAACUUUCAUGCAUGUCAUGUUUGGUUCAUUUUUUUGAGAAAGGUAACAUAUUUGUAUAUUUAUAUAAGACUACACAUAAACAGUGUAGCACCCCUUAGUUACAAAUUACAAAAGUAUAGAGCAUUUGAUCCUCUGUCAUCUCACACGGAUUCUAAUACGUCAAAGAUUGUUUCUUGAUAUUCUAAACCUAUUGCUUUACACCAAAUAAAGACCAGCCCUAAGCAUUUCAUCUUAAUCUUCUGGAGAUGGUCGGCUUUGUUUCCAAAACAUCUUUGGUUUCUCUCUUCCCAAACUGUCCACCAAAUGCACGCUGGAAUAAUCUUCCAUCUCAUUUUUUGAAUUGCAUUACUGCCUUCUUUGUUCCAGCAUGCUAGACUGCAAGCACAUCAGCUAUAUAUUACUCUGAAAGAGAGAGAAAUCAAGAAUGAUGGAGGGUGAGGGUGGUAGCAAUAAAGAGGAAGCAGGUCCAUCUCAUGGUGGCCCCACUUGGUAUGAGGAAGACAAGAGGAUGGAGGAAGAAGAAGAGGGUGAAACUGAGGAAGAUGACCAUCUUCAAGAUUCUGCUGCUGCUGCUGCUGCUGUUGAUAGCACUACAACUUUUGUUCCUGGUCCUCUUCUUUCUCUUAAAGAUCAAAUUGAAAAGGACCAGGUUCUUUAUCUCUUCCUCCCCCCCUCUUAUUUUCUUGUCCAACCACGGGAUACUUGACACCCUCCCCACUUGUUUGGUUUCCCCUUAAAACUCAAAAAGUUCUAACUUUGUGGGUUUCUUGAUGUUUCAUGGGUGUUUCAAGUUUCAAUUUCUUGGGUUAUUUUAGGGCUGUGCUUAUCUGUAUUUUGUUGUUUGAGGUGAUGUAGGUUGUUUCUUCUAGCUGUAGUUUUUGAAUUUGCAUUAAUUGUGAUAUUUUAAAGGAGAAAAAGGUUUAUUUGGUGCUUUUGGGGGUUGAGAAUUUGAGUUCUCCUCAGUGCAGUGAGUAUUAGAAAUAUUUCUAUGCUGUAACAUCUAGUAUUUCUUCUGCUUUGCUGUCCUGUUUGAUCUGGAGUUGGGUUUGUUCUUGUUUGCUCCACUGAAUUUUUUUUUUUUUCCUUUCUUUAAGUUGAAGGGGGCAGUAAUUGGUAAAACUGUUGCCAUGUAACCUCCUUCACGAGUUUAACCUGUGGAAAUAAACUUUUGCAGAAAUGCAGGGCUAAGGCUGCGCACAAUAGAUCCUUGUGGUCCAGCCUUUCCCCAAGCUCUGUGCAUAGCAAGAUCUUUAGUACACCAGGUUGCCUUUGUUCUUUAAUUUGAAAUAGGUUGCCAGUUCUUCUUUAAGAAAAAGUUGAAAUAGUCUCCCAGGUGCAUCGGAAAAUUAAUUUCCGGGGAAUUUCUAUGCUGUACCAUCUAAUGCAUUCCUUCUCAGUUUUACUUUGCUCACUCCAGUUGGAUCUUUUUUGACUUCCUUUAUUUCAAUUUGAAAUAGUUUCUUGCAUUCGAAAAUUCGCUAGGUCUCUUGGCAUGUUUUAAAUUUCCAUAUGGUUGGUCUUUACCUUAUUAAUGUUUGUGUAGGAGGAUGAGAGCUUGAGAAGGUGGAAAGAAAAACUGCUUGGUUGCUUGGAAAGUGACUUAAAUGGUUUGUCU